rnacentral:rRNA from 1 species
GUCGUACAAGGUUUCCGUAGGUGAACCUGCGGAAGGAUCAUUAAAAGUAUAUAGUUAUACAUUCUGUGUAUCGACUAAAUAUACCCAUUCUGAGUACCUUGCCUGUUGCUUCCAUGGAGCCUGACACAUGUCACUCUGGGGAUUUACAUCCCGAGGGAGCCUCCGUGGAAGGUAAUCAAUUAACUCUUGAAUCCAAUGUCAUCUGUCUGAUAAUGUUUAUAACAAAUGUUAAAACUUUCAACAACGGAUCUCUUGGUUCUCGCAUCGAUGAAGAACGCAGCGAAAUGCGAUAAGUAGUGUGAAUUGCAGAAUUCAGUGAAUCAUCGAAUCUUUGAACGCACAUUGCGCCUCCUGGUAUUCCGGGAGGCAUGCCUGUUCGAGCGUCAUUAAAUACCACUCAAGCUCUUCUGCUUGGUCAUGGAAGAAGAGUAUGCUUGCAUCCUCUCUUCUGAAAUCGAAUGGCGGACUGCCUCAUGUGCCUCGCGUAGUAAGUUCAUCUUUUCGCUUGGAGUGUGAGAUAGUCUCGCCAUCAACCCCCAUACUUCUAAGGUUGACCUCGGAUCAGGUAGGGAUACCCGCGGACU